rnacentral:lncRNA from 1 species
AUGACUUCCUGGGAUCCUCUGAAGGGAGAGCCGCUCUGUUUGGGCUGAGCAGGUGCCUUGCACAGCUGUCAAAGGAACGGCAUGCAAUUGUAAUGCUGGAUGCGGUGCUGCACAUUAUGUUUCACUAGAAAUGAAAUCAGCUAAAGAAACAUAGUCCCUACCUGAGCAAUGAAAACUGGAAUCAUCCAGUAGGCCGAAUGUCGCAUAUUUUAACUCCGUUAAAUCACUUGGCAAAAAACAGCUGCAAAAUGGUAAGUACUCAACAAUUAUCCAUUUUAUUUUUACUGUAUAUAGAGUGAUAAGGAAGUUUGAUAAGGUUUAAUAAAAUACUUAUAAACAAAUAUAUUACA